rnacentral:tRNA from 1 species
AGUGCAUUAGGUUUAAAUUCUAAACAUAGUAUAUUAUUAUUCUACAUUA